rnacentral:misc_RNA from 1 species
AAGUCGUAACAAGGUCUCCGUUGGUGAACCAGCGGAGGGAUCAUUACAGAGUUGCAAAACUCCCUAAACCAUUGUGAACCUACCACUAAACAGUUGCUUCGGCGGGUGGCGCGAGGGCCCCUUCACGGGGGCCGGAGCGCCCUAGACAGCCCGCCGGAGGUACUCAAACUCUUGUUUAAUAAGGCCUCUCUGAGUAUUGUACUUAAAUAAGUCAAAACUUUCAACAACGGAUCUCUUGGUUCUG